UUAGUACCACCUUCGUCCAAAAAUUCUUGUCUUAGAUUUGUCUAGAUACGGAUGAAUCUAGUCACGUUUUAGUUUUAGAUACAUCCAUAUCUAGACUAAUCUAAGACGAGAAUUAUAGGACGGAGGGAGUAUAUA
rfam:Triticum aestivum genome assembly, contig: Triticum_aestivum_CS42_TGACv1_scaffold_288348_4AL